rnacentral:rRNA from 1 species
CCUACGGGUGGCAGCAGUGGGGAAUAUUGCACAAUGGGGGGAACCCUGAUGCAGCGACGCCGCGUGGGUGAAGGAGGAGUUCGGGAUGUAAAGCCCUAUCAGCAGGGAAGAACAAUGACGGGACCGGAGGAAGAAGCCCCGGCGAACUACGUGCCAGCAGCCGCGGUAAUAAGUAGGGGGGAAGCGGUCUCCGGAUUGACUGGGGGUAAAGGGAGCGUAGACGGCCGUGCAAGUCGGGAGGGAAAGGCGGGGGCUCAACCCCCGGACUGCUCUGGAAACUGUACGGCUGGAGUGCAGUAGAGGUCAGUGGAAUUCCUCUUGUCGCGGUGACAUGCGUCGCUAUUUGG